CUGGCUCAUAUCCAUGGCAGGUGGGGUUCCCGCUCUGUGCUUUGGAGACCCCCUGCCUCUGUCUCUGUACAGGGGAGCUUCUUCCUUUGUUCUUCCCACUUCUAUCUUGCCUACUAAACUCUGGGCUCCUUAAAACCGCUCCACGUAUGUCCGUGUCGUUUUGUCUAAGCUGGCAUGAGGACCAAGAACCUUGGUGUUCCUCCACUCAUCGGAGCCGUAUCAGUAAGUUUUUGUUGAAAGCCAGAUGCCAGGUAAAAGGAACUCAGUGCAUUCGAAGCAGUGCAGUGGGAAGGGAAGGUAGAGAGAAGUGCUGAAGAAACAUUUUAAUAUGGAGGAUCAGUGCUGAGUCAUCACAUGGAGGACCUUGAAUCCACAGUGUACUUUGGGUGAUAAAGACAAAAUCAUUUAAAAAAAAAUCGCCAAUAUUUGGCAUUGUUUGUUAUGAGAGAAUAAAUUUACUACUUCUGACUUCCACAAUUCUAGUUCAGAUUAGAAAAGUCCAGCCAACACUGGACUUCCCUGAGAGUAUCGGCUUCUAGUUUGAGUCAAAGUUCCCAUGGCCAUAGCUUUUCCAGACAUCUGUAUCUAGAUUAAACACAGAUCAUUAUAAGUGCACAACAAUAGUGCACAUGUGUUUCAGUGGUAAGUACAAUUUAUCUUUCUCUGCUACAAACCCUGCUGUCUCAGUUUAAUUGGUAUGUUAGUAUGCAGUGGUCAUACAAACCUGUUCGUCCCGUAACAAACUCUGGAGAGCAUAACCUGCGGGCCUUUGUGGGGAUUUGCCUGUGGCUUGGUGUCCCCUCACCAUUGGAACUGACCUGGAGAAAAGCCCAAGUAGUCACUUGGUUCCACUGAGCUAUGGGCUGUCUUCAGUGCCUUGCCUAUCAAAAGGCAGUACUGACCUUCAGCACAUAAAUUGCUUAAAUAAAU
rnacentral:lncRNA from 10 species